rnacentral:rRNA from 1 species
GUGCUUAACACAUGCAAGUCGAACGGAAAGGCCCCUUCGGGGGUACUCGAGUGGCGAACGGGUGAGUAACACGUGGGUAAUCUGCCCCGCACUUCGGGAUAAGCCUGGGAAACUGGGUCUAAUACCGGAUAUGACCACGAGGCGCAUGCCUUGUGGUGGAAAGCUUUUGCGGUGUGGGAUGGGCCCGCGGCCUAUCAGCUUGUUGGUGGGGUGACGGCCUGCCAAGGCGACGACGGGUAGCCGGCCUGAGAGGGUGUCCGGCCACACUGGGACUGAGAUACGGCCCAGACUCCUACGGGAGGCAGCAGUGGGGAAUAUUGCACAAUGGGCGCAAGCCUGAUGCAGCGACGCCGCGUGGGGGAUGACGGCCUUCGGGUUGUAAACCUCUUUCAGCAGGGACGAAGCGUAAGUGACGGUACCUGCAGAAGAAGCACCGGCCAACUACGUGCCAGCAGCCGCGGUAAUACGUAGGGUGCGAGCGUUGUCCGGAAUUACUGGG